rnacentral:rRNA from 1 species
UACGAAGGGUGCAAGCGUUACUCGGAAUUACUGGGCGUAAAGCGUGCGUAGGUGGUGAUUUAAGUCCGUUGUGAAAGCCCUGGGCUCAACCUGGGAAUUGCAGUGGAUACUGGGUCACUAGAGUGUGGUAGAGGAUAGUGGAAUUUCCGGUGUAGCAGUGAAAUGCGUAGAGAUCGGAAGGAACAUCUGUGGCGAAGGCGACUAUCUGGGCCAACACUGACACUGAGGCACGAAAGCGUGGGGAGCAAACAGG